rnacentral:rRNA from 1 species
GACGAACGCUGGCGGCGUGCUUAACACAUGCAAGUCGAACGGAAAGGCCCUGCUUUUGUGGGGUGCUCGAGUGGCGAACGGGUGAGUAACACGUGAGUAACCUGCCCUUGACUUUGGGAUAACUUCAGGAAACUGGGGCUAAUACCGGAUAGGAGCUCCUGCUGCAUGGUGGGGGUUGGAAAGUUUCGGCGGUUGGGGAUGGACUCGCGGCUGAUCAGCUUGUUGGUGGGGUAGUGGCUUACCAAGGCUUUGACGGGUAGCCGGCCUGAGAGGGUGACCGGCCACAUUGGGACUGAGAGACGGCCCAGACUCCUACGGGAGGCAGCAGUGGGGAAUAUUGCACAAUGGGCGGGAGCCUGAUGCAGCAACGCCGCGUGCGGGAUGACUGCCUUCGGGUUGUAAACCGCUUUCGCCUGGGACGAAGCGUGAGUGACGGUAAUGGGUAAAGAAGCACCGGCUAACUACGUG